rnacentral:sRNA from 1 species
UGAUCCUGGGUACCGAGGGUGGCAAUAUCUUCCUUAUUUAUUUUCUCCACGUAUGUGGAGG